GCCAGUGUGAAUGAGGGCAGAUACAGCUGCAAGACGCUCACUGUGCUCACAGACCCAUGUUGCUUUCAUGUCUUCAUUUAUAUCAUGGAGAACAACACUCGUGUUAGGUACAUAUCCCAAGUCCUUAAUAGCAGUUGACAACUCGUUCCAAAUUUUAGUAUACUCAGCAGAACAACGAAAAUCAGUGCUCCCCCCAGCUACAAAUAUAUGAAUCUUAUGCUUUAUUUGUAUCCAACUACACCCUGCAUCUUUCUUGAUUCCGGUCAUGGCCAUCAUUUCCCUAACUCUCUUCACAUCUUCCCACAUCCCUGCAUUUGCAUAUAUAUUUGAAAGCAUCACAUAAUUUCCAGGAUUGUUAGGUUCAAUCUCAAACAGUCGCUCCGCGACUAUUUCAGCUAGAGGAACAUUUCCAUGAAGUCGGCACGAGUUAAGCAAAGACCCCCAAAUGCUGCCACUUGGUCUCAUUGGAAUGUUCUCUGCCACAGUUAAUGCCUCGUC
rnacentral:lncRNA from 1 species